UACGUAGGGGGCAAGCGUUGUCCGGAAUCAUUGGGCGUAAAGGGCGCGUAGGCGGCCCGGUAAGUCCGCUGUAAAAGUCAAAGGCUCAACCUUUGAAUGUCAGUGGAUACUGCCGGGCUAGAGUCCGGAAGAGGCGAGUGGAACUCCUGGUGUAGCGGUGGAAUGCGCAGAUAUCAGGAAGAACACCAACGGCGAAGGCAGCUCGCUGGGACGGUACUGACGCUGAGACGCGAAAGCGUGGGGAGCGAACCGG
rnacentral:rRNA from 1 species